rnacentral:rRNA from 1 species
UACGUAGGGUGCGAGCGUUAAUCGGAAUUACUGGGCGUAAAGCGUGCGCAGGCGGUUCGUUAAGUCUGAUGUGAAAGCCCCGGGCUCAACCUGGGAAUGGCAUUGGAAACUGGCGGGCUUGAGUGUGGCAGAGGGGGGUGGAAUUCCGCGUGUAGCAGUGAAAUGCGUAGAGAUGCGGAGGAACACCGAUGGCGAAGGCAGCCCCCUGGGCUAACACUGACGCUCAGGCACGAAAGCGUGGGGAGCAAACAGG